UACGUAGGGUGCGAGCGUUAAUCGGAAUUACUGGGCGUAAAGCGUGCGCAGGCGGUGAUGUAAGACAGGUGUGAAAUCCCCGGGCUUAACCUGGGAACUGCAUUUGUGACUGCAUCGCUGGAGUGCGGCAGAGGGGGAUGGAAUUCCGCGUGUAGCAGUGAAAUGCGUAGAUAUGCGGAGGAACACCGAUGGCGAAGGCAAUACCCUGGGCCUGCACUGACGCUCAUGCACGAAAGCGUGGGGAGCAAACAGG
rnacentral:rRNA from 1 species